rnacentral:rRNA from 1 species
UACGAAGGGGGCUAGCGUUGCUCGGAAUGACUGGGCGUAAAGGGCGCGUAGGCGGCGUGCUUUGUCGGGCGUGAAAUUCCAGGGCUCAACCUUGGGGCUGCGUUCGAGACGGGCAUUCUAGAGUUCGGAAGAGGGUCGUGGAAUUCCCAGUGUAGAGGUGAAAUUCGUAGAUAUUGGGAAGAACACCGGUGGCGAAGGCGGCGACCUGGUCCGAGACUGACGCUGAGGCGCGAAAGCGUGGGGAGCGAACAGG